rnacentral:rRNA from 1 species
CCAGACUCCUACGGGAGGCAGCAGUGGGGAAUCUUCCGCAAUGGGCGCAAGCCUGACGGAGCAACGCCGCGUGAGUGAAGAAGGUCUUCGGAUCGUAAAGCUCUGUUGACGGGGACGAACGUGCGGAGUGCGAAUAGCGCUUUGUAAUGACGGUACCUGUCGAGGAAGCCACGGCUAACUACGUGCCAGCAGCCGCGGUAAUACGUAGGUGGCGAGCGUUGUCCGGAAUCAUUGGGCGUAAAGGGAGCGCAGGCGGGCCGGUAAGUCUUACUUAAAAGUGCGGGGCUCAACCCCGUGAUGGGAGAGAAACUAUCGGUCUUGAGUACAGGAGAGGAAAGCGGAAUUCCCAGUGUAGCGGUGAAAUGCGUAGAUAUUGGGAAGAACACCAGUGGCGAAGGCGGCUUUCUGGACUGCAACUGACGCUGAGGCUCGAAAGCCAGGGGAGCGAACGGGAUUAGAUACCCCGGUAGUCCUGGCCGUAAACGAUGGAUACUAGGUGUGGGAGGUAUCGACCCCUACCGUGCCGGAGUUAACGCAAUAAGUAUCCCGCCUGGGGAGUACGGCCGCAAGGCUGAAACUCAAAGGAAUUGACGGGGGCCCGCACAA